rnacentral:rRNA from 1 species
UACGUAGGGGGCAAGCGUUGUCCGGAUUUACUGGGCGUAAAGCGCGCGUAGGCGGAGCUUUAAGCGUGGCCUGAAAGCCCCCGGCUCAACCGGGGAGGGCGGCUGCGAACUGGAGUUCUUGAGGGCGAUAGAGGGGGGUGGAAUUCCUGGUGUAGCGGUGAAAUGCGUAGAGAUCAGGAGGAACACCCGUGGCGAAGGCAGGUCUCUGGGCAUUAACUGACGCUGAGGAGCGAAAGCAUGGGGAGCGAACAGG